rnacentral:rRNA from 1 species
GAUGAACGCUGGCGGCGUGCUUAACACAUGCAAGUCGAACGAUGAAGCCCAGCUUGCUGGGUGGAUUAGUGGCGAACGGGUGAGUAACACGUGAGUAACCUGCCCUUGACUCUGGGAUAAGCCUGGGAAACUGGGUCUAAUACUGGAUAUGACUUCUCAUCGCAUGGUGGGGGGUGGAAAGAUUUAUUGGUCUUGGAUGGACUCGCGGCCUAUCAGCUUGUUGGUGAGGUAAUGGCUCACCAAGGCGACGACAGGUAGCCGGCCUGAGAGGGUGACCGGCCACACUGGGACUGAGACACGGCCCAGACUCCUACGGGAGGCAGCAGUGGGGAAUAUUGCACAAUGGGCGCAAGCCUGAUGCAGCGACGCCGCGUGAGGGAUGACGGCCUUCGGGUUGUAAACCUCUUUCAGUAGGGAAGAAGCGAGUGUGACGGUACCUGCAGAAGAAGCGCCGGCUAACUACGUG